GUGAGGAAUAUUGCGCAAUGGAGGCAACUCUGACGCAGCCAUGCCGCGUGCAGGAAGAAGGCGCUACGCGUUGUAAACUGCUUUUAACCGGGAAGAAACCCCAGGACGUGUCCUGGGUUGACGGUACCGGAGGAAUAAGCACCGGCUAACUUCGUGCCAGCAGCCGCGGUAAUACGAAGGGUGCAAGCGUUAUCCGGAUUCAUUGGGUUUAAAGGGUGCGUAGGCGGAGCGUUAAGUCAGUGGUGAAAUCCUGCAGCUUAACUGUAGACUUGCCAUUGAUGCUGGCGCUCUUGAGUGCGCUUGAAGUGGGCGGAAUGUGCCGUGUAGCGGUGAAAUGCUUAGAUAUGGCACAGAACACCAAUUGCGAAGGCAGCUCACUAAGGCGAUACUGACGCUGAGGCACGAAAGCGUGGGGAUCGAACAGGAUUAGAUACCCGAGUAGUCC
rnacentral:rRNA from 1 species